rnacentral:rRNA from 1 species
UACGGGGGGAGCAAGCGUUGUUCGGAUUUACUGGGCGUAAAUGGGCGGCGGUAGGCGGUUAGCACAAGUCAAGUUGUGAAAUCUCCGGGCUUAACUCGGAAAGGUCAACUGAUACUGUGCGACUAGAGUGCAGAAGGGGCAACUGGAAUUCUCGGUGUAGCGGUAGAAAUGACGUAGAUAUCGAGAGGAACACCUGCGGCGAAGGCGGGUUGCUGGGCCGACACUGACGCUGAUGCGCGAAAGCCAGGGGAGCGAACGGG